rnacentral:rRNA from 1 species
AUUGAACGCUGGCGGCAUGCUUUACACAUGCAAGUCGAACGGUAACAGGCCUUCGGGUGCUGACGAGUGGCGCACGGGUGCGUAAUGCAUCGGAACGUGCCCAGAGGUGGGGGAUAACGCAGCGAAAGCUGUGCUAAUACCGCAUGUGAUCUGAGGAUGAAAGCGGGGGACCAGGCAGCAAUGUUUGGCCUCGCGCCUUUGGAGCGGCCGAUGUCAGAUUAGGUAGUUGGUGGGGUAAAGGCCUACCAAGCCGACGAUCUGUAGCUGGUCUGAGAGGACGACCAGCCACACUGGGACUGAGACACGGCCCAGACUCCUACGGGAGGCAGCAGUGGGGAAUUUUGGACAAUGGGCGCAAGCCUGAUCCAGCAAUGCCGCGUGCGGGAAGAAGGCCUUCGGGUUGUAAACCGCUUUUGUACGGAACGAAAAGGCUCUGGCUAAUACCUGGGGCUGAUGACGGUACCGGAAGAAUAAGCACCGGCUAACUACGUG